ACAUAUUUCAAACAAUACCAAUACAUCGACUGUUCGACUGCACAUAGACUGCCUACAAUUUAUUUUUGUAAUGUAAAAAUAACGUCUACGGAUAUCGUUCAAUGCGCUCUGUCGGUCAACAACAAUCAACGAACAGCAAAAUCGUUACUUUCCAAGAGAAAUGAUUUCUAGUGUUCAAAAAAAAAAAAAUGGUUAAACACGUGGUAAACAAGGAAACAUUGUUAAAUGUAUACAAAAUUCAUAGAAAUCAAAACGUUUGAUGCACUAUUCAAAAUAAUAUUAUUGGUAAUAUAGUUAAAUAUAUGUUUAUUCAUAGUUUUUGUUUCAAUUAAUCUACACAAAUUAUUAAUUAGUAUUAUUAAAUUCAAUAUUUUGAUAUAACUCAACUGUAAAACAGAUAAAAUUAAUUUAUUACGCAUCUGUUGCUAAUUUUAUUAUUAAUCUCUUGGUCUUUCCUCUAUUUAGCUCCUGUUAUUCUAUAAUCAUUUUUAUUAACAUCCGCCCCUCGUAUUGAUAGAUAUAAUUGAUUGCAAUAUGAUGAAUAGCAGUGACGUAUCCAGGAAACAAUUUAGGGGGAAGAAUGACAAAAUAUUGAAUGCGUUACUUUAAAACUUUAAUAAAAAAAAUAUCUAAUAAAAACUCAGUAUUUCAUGGCAAC